AUUGAACGCUGGCGGCAGGCCUAACACAUGCAAGUCGAGCGGAUGAAAGGGGCUUGCUCCUGGAUUCAGCGGCGGACGGGUGAGUAAUACGCAGGAAUCUACCUAGUAGUGGGGGAUAACGUUUCGAAAGGGGCGCUAAUACCGCAUACGUUCUGAGGAAGAAAGCAGGGGAUCGCAAGACCUUGCGCUAUUAGAUGAGCUUGCGUCCGAUUAGCUAGUUGGUGGGGUAAAGGCCUACCAAGGCGACGAUCGGUAACUGGUCUGAGAGGAUGAUCAGCCACACUGGGACUGAGACACGGCCCAGACUCCUACGGGAGGCAGCAGUGGGGAAUAUUGCGCAAUGGAGGCAACUCUGACGCAGCCAUGCCGCGUGCAGGAAGAAGGCGCUACGCGUUGUAAACUGCUUUUAACCGGGAAGAAACCCUCCGACGUGUCGGAGGUUGACGGUACCGGAGGAAUAAGCACCGGCUAACUUCGUGCCAGCAGCCGCGG
rnacentral:rRNA from 1 species